GAACCGGUGGUGUAAUGGUAACACGUUGCGUCCUGGCGUGAAAAGGAAUGGUUCGAUUCCCUCCGGUUCG
rnacentral:tRNA from 1 species